AUCAUAGAAACAAGCCACUAGCAGUAACUGUGAUGUUGUAGCAAAAAGAAGUUGCCUGUCUCAUCAGGUCAUACUGCCUCAAUUCUUAUAAAUAUUCUAUCUAACAUACUAGGAAGAACUCUGCAUUCAGACUUAGGGAGAUCUACCAUCACAGCACUAAGAGUGGUGAGACCCUGGACCUGCUCUGGCACAAGCAGAAUUUGAUCCACACUUUUUUUAACAAAAUCAACUUUGUUUCCUCCUUCAUCUUCUCUUCCAAAUAAUCUUCACGCAAAUAUACAAAUUGCUGGUUCUUCUACACUCUGUAUUGACUGCCUAGUUUAUUUAGCAAUAUCUGUGCUUCAUCUGUACUUACAUUUUUUAUACCUCCAGGGAAGACCUCUUUUGAAGGUCUAUCAGCCAAUGUGUUGGGGUGAAUAUUGUCAUUUUCAUUAAGAGAAGGCAGAACUGUUUGAAAAAUUAGCUGUUUCACAAUGCAACUUGAACUCAGACAGGAUGAAAGAGUGUGUGGCGGAGACCUUUCCUAUCACAGCGAAUUUCCCCCAGGGGGUGUGGCUGAAGACUGGGUGGGAUUUUUUUUCAAAGACCAUAUCAAAACUGCUUUUUGAAUUCAGAUACUGGUGUAUUUCUCUGGCAAAAAGCACUGCAACAGUCAAAUCUUUUGCAGACUUGCAGGUUUGCUUAUCGGAAGCAGAGUUAUUCAAGAAGUUACUUGUGAAAAAUAGUGUAGCUCUAUUUUAGAUCCAGAGGAAAGAUACGGGACUUCAGCAUGUAGUAAUAAUAGGCCAAAAAUGAACUUGUAUUUGUGACAAUAUUGAAUUUUUUGCAGUAUGCAUGAAACAGAGCAACUGCAGUCAACUGAAACUGACCUUUUUAUUGGAGAAAUGGCAAGCUAAUUUACACCAAAAAUACACAUACUCAACCAGAUGAAAAUGAAGAACUCAACGACUGCUUGCAGUUCAGAGAAGAGAAGAUGAAGAACUCUCUGCUCGCAGCUAUCUUUUUAUUUGCAACAGAUUCCUGUAACUGCUUAAACUUGGAUUUUCAAUUGUGCAAGCAGCUUCCAGACUGGGACAAUGAAUUGAUGUGCUACAAAGAAAUAAGUGAGGAUCUAACUUGCACCUGGUUGCCAGCACCCAGUGCUCCAAAUACUGUUAUUUACAAUUUAUUCUUAAAAUGGGAAAGAAUCAAUAAACUUUUCAAAGCAAAUACGUCGUCACCUUCCAUCACAAUAGAACGAAGGAAUCUCUACAUGCAACGCUCUGCAUCUAUUUGGAUAGAAGUGAAUUAUGCCCAUGACAGCUGUGUGAAAGGAAAGAACAUCUCAGUUACACCAAGCAAAGCAGGGAAGUGCUUGACACCAUCUAACAUAAAUGCUCAUCAGAUCACAAACCAACUGAUAAUAAAAUGGGACAUGCCUGCAACUCCUACACAAUAUGAACUGAGAUACAGAGAGGCACUCACAGAAACCACUCAGUGGACGCUGGUGCCCAUAGAAAGCAAUGCUGUCAACAUCACUGUUUCAAAUUUAAAUGCUACAUCUUCGUACAUUGUUCAGCUCAGAUGCAUAGCCAAGGAUGGUCUUCACUGUGUUUGCAUUUGGAGUAGAGAGAUUUUGGUCCCUCACAAGCUCAUGAGCAAGCCAAGAAUAUCAUAUAAUGCAACUACAGAAAUCUCUCCAGGCAGAAGAAGUGUUCUUCUUAAGUGGGAGACUUGCCUGGCCAAAUCAAUGUUAAACCUCAGGGAACUGAUGCAGUUGUCACCUGGACUCCAGAAUACAGUCCAAAAUGUUUUGUGGUUGACU
ensembl:lncRNA